CUGAAACUGUUUGCCGCUUGUGUAGAACAUGUCAAAACCUUCCUUCCUAUCAGAGCUGGAAGAUCCUGAUUGACUAGAGACGUUGCACUUAAUGGAAGAUGUUUUAGUGUUUGAGCUCGAGUUGACAGUGUUGGCGAGAGAGGCACUAUUUGUCACUUUCCCUCUCAGAGAGAAUUCAGAGAAGGACACAAUCACUGUGUCCAACUGUGAUUGUUUACAAUGUGCAGUCAUUGCAAUGCAUUGUGCUUCUGGGGAAAGAUUUAGCAAGUUACAAAAGGAAAUAACUACACUAUCCUUCCCUGUAACACCCCUGGACAUUGACCAAUCCCUGUUAAACAUGUCCGCAUUCACAGGAGUAAGUCUACCUGACCUUGAAAUGGACUUGGCCGACAUAGCCCACGAAAACAUAUGGGUAUCUAAAGUAAGUUCCAAAGCCUGACAGCUGAACUUGUAGAUGUUGCCCGUCAGAAGGCUAUUCUCGCACAGAACAAAAGAUGGAGCAAAACUGAAAAAAUCCCAAAACCCGACAAACUUAUGUUUAUUACAUGGAAUGCUAGUCCUGACAAUUAUGUCGAUAUGAAGAAGUAUGUAUUUGGAGUCCUAUCCAUCUUUGGAUCAACGUACUUGUGCGAUCAAGUUUUCUCAAGCCUGAACCACACAAAGUCCAAAUAUCGUUCCUGCCUCACUGAUGAGAGCCUGCAGGCUUGUGUGGAGAUCAGAGAUACAUCUUACAGCCCUGAUAUUGAGAAGAUCUGCAGUGAUGUUCAGAAACAGAAAUCUCAUUAUACUGGUGAGAACAGUAUCCUAAUUAGGUUAUUAUUUUACAACACAUUAUCUCUUUUAGAAAGUUGUGAUUUUUCUCAGUGAAGUGUAUGACCGUGAGCUGAUAUCGUUGUUUUGCUAUGUUUUGUUUAUUUUCAGUGUAGGCUACUUUUUAUUGUAUCACAUUUGGGCUAUUCUUUUUCUUUGCACAAACACAGGGAUGACUCAAACUAGGCCCGCAUAUCUAUUUAUAGCAUCUACAUUUUUAAGUAAGCGUACACAUGCCAGUGGAUUUUUUCUCCACUACACAAUUAAUCAGUUUUGUGUUUUGUUGGAAAUAGCAUCCUACAAUAAAAAUAACCAAAGUGUCAACUUUUUUCUUUAUUGUAGCAGUACUAUAAUUUAAUAAAUGCACCAAAAAGAUUUUUUUUUCUUUCUGGCCAAAAAUGGCUCUUUACAUAGUAAAACUUGCUGACCCCUUAGACAGUCACACAUAGCUCAGUUACAAGUGACAGAUGCCCUAAUAUGUCAUCCUUUGGAUUUAAGAGAUUUUUUUGCAGCAAAAAAGCUUUUCUAGAUUUCCUGAUCACUGUUUGAUAGUUCUCUUGUAAGUAAGUGUGACUUUGUCUCUCUGUUUCCUCUUACUUUCAUACUUCUCUGUUGUAGGAAAGUGAACCCAAACCUUACCACAGGGUCAAAGUUGACUUCUCUUUAUCCACUGGUGAUGAUCUCUACCUCCCUACCCACCAACCAAUAACAUGGCACUUUCAUACACCAGAGGAAGAGAUCAGUCUAGGGCCGGCCUGCUGGCUGUGGGACUACCUGAGGAGAAGUGGACAGGCUGGUUUCCUGUUGCCUCUGAGCGGAGGCGUUGACAGCUCUUCCACCGCCUGUAUUGUCCACUCUAUGUGUGUGCUGCUCUGCCAGGCUGUGGAGGA